UUCAGAGGAACCUGUCCUAUAAUUGAUGGUCCACGAUUUUUAUUACUUAUUUUAUUAGUUUACAUAUCGCCGUAGGUUGAAUAUUUUAAUAGAAAAAUCAUAUUCAAAAUUUUCUUUAAGAAAAUAAAUCAGGUCAAGGUGUAGUUUAUAAAUAAGAAGAGAUGGGUUACAAUAAAUUAAUUUAAAUGGAUAAUUAAUUGAAAUAUUAGUUUUAAAGUGGAUUUGAUAGUAAUUUUAAUUAAAUUAUUAAAAUGAUUUUAGCUCUAAAAUAUGCACAUAUCGCCCGUCAUUUUCAUUAUAAAAUGAAACAAGUCGUAACAUAGUAGGUGUACUGGAAAGUGUACCUAGAACGGCGAGUCAGAGCUUGUUAAAAAGCAUUUUAGUUACAUUAAAAAGUUUAUUGUGAAAAUCAAUAUGGCUUGAAUUUUAAUAAUUAUUAAAAUUUAAAUUUUUAAUUUAUUUAAAUAAAUUAAUUUAAAGUUUUAUUAUAAAAUUGAAAAAAUUUUUUUAAUUAUAGUAAAUUAGUAUUGUGAAAGAAAUUAUAUAUAUAUAUUAAAGAAUAAUUUAUUUUUAAAAAACAUGGCCUUUUGAUUAUAAUUUUAGGUCUAACCUGCCCAAAGAAAAUUUGAAUGGCCGCGGUAUUUUGACCGUGCAAAGGUAGCAUAAUCAUUUGUUUUUUAAUUGAAAGCUGGAAUGAAGGGUUGAAUGAGAAAAUAACUGUCUCUAUUUAAUUUUUUUAGAAUUUUAUUUUUAAGUUAAAAAGCUUAAAUAAAUUUUGAAGACGAGAAGACCCUAUAGAGUUUUAUAUAUAUAGUAUUUAAAUGAUUUAGUAAUAAUUUUUUUAAAUUAAUUAUGUAUUUGAUUGGGGUGAUUAAAAAAUUAAAUAAACUUUUUUUGUAUAAAAUCAUUGAUUAAUGAAUAAUUGAUCCUUUAAGAGAUUAAAAGACUAAAUUACCUUAGGGAUAACAGCGUAAUUUUUUUUUAGAGUUCAAAUCGAAAGAAAAGAUUGCGACCUCGAUGUUGGAUUAAAAUUAAUUUUUGGUGUAGCAGCUAAAUAUAUUGGGUCUGUUCGACCCUUAAAAUUUUACUUGAUCUGAGUUCAAACCGGUGUGAGCCAGGUUGGUUUCUAUCUCGAAAUAUAUAAAAUAUUUUAGUACGAAAGGAUCAAAUAUUUAAUUUAAAAUUUUUUUAUUGAAUAAUAUUAAUAGUUAUUUUGGCAGAAUAGUGCAAUAGAUUUAGAAUCUAUAUAUGUAAUUUUUACAAAUAACACUUGAAAAUAUUUGAUUUAUUUUUAAUAUUAAUUUCUAGUUUGAUUUUAUCAUUAUGCGUGAUAAUUGGGGUUGCUUUUUUAACUUUGCUGGAACGUAAGGUUUUAGGAUAUAUUCAAAUUC
rnacentral:rRNA from 1 species